rnacentral:rRNA from 1 species
CUACGGGAGGCAGCAGUGGGGAAUCUUAGACAAUGGGCGCAAGCCUGAUCUAGCCAUGCCGCGUGAGUGACGAAGGCCAUAGGGUCGUAAAGCUCUUUCGCUGGGGAAGAUAAUGACGGUACCCAGUAAAGAAACCCCGGCUAACUCCGUGCCAGCAGCCGCGGUAAUACGGAGGGGGUUAGCGUUGUUCGGAAUUACUGGGCGUAAAGCGCGCGUAGGCGGAUCAGAAAGUUGGGGGUGAAAUCCCGGGGCUCAACCCCGGAACUGCCUUCAAAACUCCUGGUCUUGAGUUCGAGAGAGGUGAGUGGAAUUCCGAGUGUAGAGGUGAAAUUCGUAGAUAUUCGGAGGAACACCAGUGGCGAAGGCGGCUCACUGGCUCGAUACUGACGCUGAGGUGCGAAAGCGUGGGGAGCAAACAGGAUUAGAUACCCCAGUAGUC